CAGUAGCCGCGGGAAUACGUAGGUGGCGAGCGUUGUCCGGAAUUAUUGGGCGUAAAGGGAGCGCAGGUGGACAUAUAAGUCCAUCUUAAAAGUGCGGGGCUCAGCCCCGUGAGGGGAUGGAAACUGUAUGCCUUGAGUGCAGGAGAGGAAAGCGGAGUUCCCAGUGUAGCGGUGAAAUGCGUAGAUAUUGGGAGGAACACCAGUGGCGAAGGCGGCUUUCUGGACUGCAACUGACGCUGAGGCUCGAAAGCCAGGGGAGCGAACGGGAUUAGAUACCCCUGUAGUCCCUGUCUCUUAUACA
rnacentral:rRNA from 1 species